rnacentral:rRNA from 1 species
AUUGAACGCUGGCGGAAUGCUUUACACAUGCAAGUCGAACGGCAGCACGGACUUCGGUCUGGUGGCGAGUGGCGAACGGGUGAGUAAUAUAUCGGAACGUAUCCAAUAAUGGGGGAUAACUAAUCGAAAGGUUGGCUAAUACCGCAUACGUCCUACGGGAGAAAGCUAGGGACCUUCGGGCCUGGCGUUAAUGGAGCGGCCGGUAUAUGAUUAGCUAGUUGGUGAGGUAAAGGCUCACCAAGGCGACGAUCAGUAGCUGGUCUGAGAGGACGAACAUACACACUGGAACAGAGACACGGUCCAGACUCCUACGGGAGGCAGCAGUGGGGAAUUUUGGACAAUGGGCGCAAGCCUGAUCCAGCCAUUCCGCGUGAGUGAAUAAGGCCUUCGGGUUGUAAAGCUCUUUCGCAAGGGAAGAAAACUUAUCCUCUAACAUAGGAUGAGGUUGACGGUACCUUGAUAAGAAGCACCGGCUAACUACGUGCCAGCCGCCGCGGUAACAC